GGCAACAUUCUUUUGCACACAUACUAAAAUUGGAACGACACAGAGAAGAUGAACAUGGUCCUUGCACAAGGAUGACAUGCCAAUUUGUGAAGUGUUCCAUAUUUUC
rnacentral:snRNA from 1 species